rnacentral:ncRNA from 1 species
GGAAGUCGGCAAAAUGGAUCCGUAACCUCAGGAAAAGGAUUGGCUCUGAGGGCUGGGCACGGGGGUCCCAGUCCUGAACUCGUCAGCUGCCAGUGCACUGCUCGAGCUGCUUUCAUGGUGAGAGCUGGUCGCCGCGUGCCGGUCGGGUGACGGACUGGGAACGGCUCCUUCAGGGGCCUUUCCCUGGCGACGAACAAUCGACUCAGAACUGGUAUGGACAAGGGAAUCUGACUGUUUAAUUAAACCAAAGCAUUGCGAUGGUCCCUGCGGAUGCUCACGCAAUGUGAUUUCUACCCAGUGCUCUGAAUGUCAAAGUGAAGAAAUUCAACCAAGCGCGGGUAAACGGCGGGAGUAACUAUGACUCUCU